GUGCUCUUCCUAUAUGGAGGUGGCCCCGGGCCCCUCAAGGAAGACAGACACAUCAGCCAGUAGCGAGGAAUCAGAGGGUGAUGGCAACAGCAGCGAGGCCUCAGAGGGAGAGGACACACACAGCGAGGUAUCGUGUAGCCCGUUGGAGUCAUGGUCUGACGGUGGCUCGUUUGAUUAUAAUAAGGUGCCCGACUCAGAAAUGGAAAAGUCUCUGUGAAAGUAAUCAUGUUCUUUGUUCUUUCUUUGUAAUCAUGCUACCUUUGCUGUACUGUUGUGUUUUCAUAUUAUAUUUUGUUCUAAUACAAGACUGUUCUAA